AGAGUUUGAUCCUGGCUCAGGAUGAACGCCGGCGGUGUGCCUAAUACAUGCAAGUCGUACGCACUGGCCCAACUGAUUGAUGGUGCUUGCACCUGAUUGACGAUGGAUCACCAGUGAGUGGCGGACGGGUGAGUAACACGUAGGUAACCUGCCCCGGAGCGGGGGAUAACAUUUGGAAACAGAUGCUAAUACCGCAUAACAACAAAAGCCACAUGGCUUUUGUUUGAAAGAUGGCUUUGGCUAUCACUCUGGGAUGGACCUGCGGUGCAUUAGCUAGUUGGUAAGGUAACGGCUUACCAAGGCGAUGAUGCAUAGCCGAGUUGAGAGACUGAUCGGCCACAAUGGAACUGAGACACGGUCCAUACUCCUACGGGAGGCAGCAGUAGGGAAUCUUCCACAAUGGGCGCAAGCCUGAUGGAGCAACACCGCGUGAGUGAAGAAGGGUUUCGGCUCGUAAAGCUCUGUUGUUGGAGAAGAACGUGCGUGAGAGUAACUGUUCACGCAGUGACGGUAUCCAACCAGAAAGUCACGGCUAACUACGUGCCAGCAGCCGCGGUAAUACGUAGGUGGCAAGCGUUAUCCGGAUUUAUUGGGCGUAAAGCGAGCGCAGGCGGUUGUUUAGGUCUGAUGUGAAAGCCUUCGGCUUAACCGGAGAAGUGCAUCGGAAACCGGGCGACUUGAGUGCAGAAGAGGACAGUGGAACUCCAUGUGUAGCGGUGGAAUGCGUAGAUAUAUGGAAGAACACCAGUGGCGAAGGCGGCUGCCUGGUCUGCAACUGACGCUGAGGCUCGAAAGCAUGGGUAGCGAACAGGAUUAGAUACCCUGGUAGUCCAUGCCGUAAACGAUGAGUGCUAGGUGUUGGAGGGUUUCCGCCCUUCAGUGCCGGAGCUAACGCAUUAAGCACUCCGCCUGGGGAGUACGACCGCAAGGUUGAAACUCAAAGGAAUUGACGGGGGCCCGCACAAGCGGUGGAGCAUGUGGUUUAAUUCGAAGCUACGCGAAGAACCUUACCAGGUCUUGACAUCUUGCGCUAACCUUAGAGAUAAGGCGUUCCCUUCGGGGACGCAAUGACAGGUGGUGCAUGGUCGUCGUCAGCUCGUGUCGUGAGAUGUUGGGUUAAGUCCCGCAACGAGCGCAACCCUUGUUACUAGUUGCCAGCAUUAAGUUGGGCACUCUAGUGAGACUGCCGGUGACAAACCGGAGGAAGGUGGGGACGACGUCAGAUCAUCAUGCCCCUUAUGACCUGGGCUACACACGUGCUACAAUGGACGGUACAACGAGUCGCAAGCUCGCGAGAGUAAGCUAAUCUCUUAAAGCCGUUCUCAGUUCGGACUGUAGGCUGCAACUCGCCUACACGAAGUCGGAAUCGCUAGUAAUCGCGGAUCAGCAUGCCGCGGUGAAUACGUUCCCGGGCCUUGCACUCACCGCCCGUCA
rnacentral:rRNA from 1 species